UCUGGAAUUGGAUUUACUAUACUGAGGCUUUCUCAAAUAUGGUUGUUUCUUACCACUGGUACAUCUUAUACCAAACUUAGCUACAAAAAAGCACAUGUCACUGUGAUCCCAAUUAUAUGCUAUCCAUGAAUGGUGUUGUGUAAGGGCUCACAUUUUGAGGAACAUUUCUAAAGAUUUCCUGCGGCCUCUGAAGAGAUCUGAAGAUCUACAACCACCAAAAGUGGGCUGAUAUAUUUUGGAGAUUACAGCACGGUAGUGAACAGCUUUGGGUAUUGAAAGAUGGAGUUCGACUACCAGCUCUGUCAUUUACCAGCUUAGUGGCCGCAGGGGCUGAUUCAACUAUAUUUCCAAAAGAGACCAAUGAUUGAUUCAGCUUCUGGCCCCAUUGGAUACUUGAACAGCAGAUGAGAAAAUUUCUAUUCUCUUCCGGAUUCUAGCCAGCAACAGGAUCUCUGUCUGACCUCCAGGCUGGGGCCUUCCUGGUCACCUUGGUUAAAAUCUAACUACUUGUUUUGACCUCAUGCUGGGCAGAGAGUACUUGCGACCCUUGAUGUUAGACUUGGACAUGUGACUUACUUUGGCAAUAGAAUCAUGGCAGACACAAUGCAAAUAGAAGCAUGGAACGCACUUAGGUUACUGGGUUUGCCUAAUUGUGUUUCUGCCACUCCCAUGAAAGGCACAUCGUCCACCUAGACUGCUGAUCCAGGGAAGAUGAGAAAUGUGGAGCAUAUGUGAGCCCAGCACAGAGCAGAGCCCCACCCUGCCAGAUCUGCAGCUUGAAGCAGAGCUACCUACCUGUGCUCACGCCAGAUCACCCAACACUCACCCAACCCAGUGAGAGUAAGUAAUUGUUUCAAGCCACCGAGGUUUUGCAGUGGUUUAUUAUGCAAGAAGCUCUAUUACCCUAACUCCAUCUCAUCUUUU